GAGUAAUGCGUGACCGACCUGCCCCAUACACCGGAAUAGCUCCUGGAAACGGGUGGUAAUGCCGGAUGCUCCAGUUGAUCGCAUGGUCUUCUGGGAAAGCUUUCGCGGUAUGGGAUGGGGUCGCGUCCUAUCAGCUUGACGGCGGGGUAACGGCCCACCGUGGCUUCGACGGGUAGCCGGCCUGAGAGGGCGACCGGCCACAUUGGGACUGAGAUACGGCCCAGACUCCUACGGGAGGCAGCAGUGGGGAAUAUUGCACAAUGGGCGCAAGCCUGAUGCAGCGACGCCGCGUGAGGGAUGGAGGCCUUCGGGUUGUAAACCUCUUUUAUCGGGGAGCAAGCGAGAGUGAGUUUACCCGUUGAAUAAGCACCGGCUAACUACGUGCCAGCAGGCGCGGUAAUACGUAGGGUGCAAGCGUUAUCCGGAAUUAUUGGGCGUAAAGGGCUCGUAGGCGGUUCGUCGCGUCCGGUGUGAAAGUCCAUCGCUUAACGGUGGAUCCGCGCCGGGUACGGGCGGGCUUGAGUGCGGUAGGGGAGACUGGAAUUCCCGGUGUAACGGUGGAAUGUGUAGAUAUCGGGAAGAACACCAAUGGCGAAGGCAGGUCUCUGGGCCGUUACUGACGCUGAGGAGCGAAAGCGUGGGGAGCGAACAGGAUUAGAUACCCUGGUAGUCCACGCCGUAAACGGUGGAUGCUGGAUGUGGGGCCCGUUCCACGGGUUCCGUGUCGGAGCUAACGCGUUAAGCAUCCCGCCUGGGGAGUACGGCCGCAAGGCUAAAACUCAAAGAAAUUGACGGGGGCCCGCACAAGCGGCGGAGCAUGCGGAUUAAUUCGAUGCAACGCGAAGAACCUUACCUGGGCUUGACAUGUUCCCGACGGUCGUAGAGAUACGGCUUCCCUUCGGGGCGGGUUCACAGGUGGUGCAUGGUCGUCGUCAGCUCGUGUCGUGAGAUGUUGGGUUAAGUCCCGCAACGAGCGCAACCCUCGCCCCGUGUUGCCAGCGGAUUAUGCCGGGAACUCACGGGGGACCGCCGGGGUUAACUCGGAGGAAGGUGGGGAUGACGUCAGAUCAUCAUGCCCCUUACGUCCAGGGCUUCACGCAUGCUACAAUGGCCGGUACAACGGGAUGCGACGCGGCGACGCGGAGCGGAUCCCUGAAAACCGGUCUCAGUUCGGAUCGCAGUCUGCAACUUGACUGCGUGAAAGCCGAAUCGCUAGUAAUCGCGAAUCACAACGUCGCGGUGAAU
rnacentral:rRNA from 1 species